rnacentral:lncRNA from 1 species
AUGUUUUGGUGGAUAACUUUUGGGUGAAUCUUUUAUAUUUCUCGCGGACCAAAAUACCGGGUCUUACCGGAUCGAGAUACAUUUGGAUCAUAUUAAUAGUGUUGGGGAAAACACCAUUCCGUUCUAAACCCUAGCAUCCUUCCCCUUAAUCGCUCUACAUGAUGAACAUUUUCUUUUCUAUUGAAGUUUUGAAUUAUUUGUGGAUUUCAGUUCGACUUAUUUUGAAGCACAGACAUAUGUUGAGGGAUCGUUUGUUUUCUAUAGUUUUGGUUGGCACUUGCUAAUGGAUUUUACUUGCUCUCUUUUCUUUAGUUGUUAUGCGAUUAAACUGCCUUAUGUCAUUUAAAGCAUUGAACUAUAGAAGUCAUUAUAAACGUGGUGAUUGAAAUUAAUAAGGUAUGCAGGAGUCCUUAGAUACACCAGAAACACAACAAUUGGCCUGAGCAUCUCAUGAGUCUCAAAAUGACAAAGACAUAAUAAUGUGACAGAAGCACAUGUUCCUGACUCUGGUUCAAUAUCCAUCUCAAGUAAAGAUGAUAUAAAGAGUGAUAUCACGGGUUUUUCGGGACUAACAAGUGGUAUCAGAGCCAUUGAAGUCUUUCAAAGGCUCGGUUUUGAUAUCAUUCGAAGAACGAGAAGAUAUUUACACAGUGUUGGGAAUUUUGUUCGAAAAAGAAUAGAUCUCCGGUUCAUAAGAUCCGGCCCGGCAGCGGUGGCAGAUACUAUGACGUAUGGUACACGAAGAGGUGAACAAAAGUUGGAGAUAGUUUCGGAGGUGGUGUAGAAGAAGAAGCUUUGCUCAGUAACGGGGUAUGUGUGGUCACCGGCGAUGAGGAGACGAAAGAAGGUCACAGUUGAAGAUAAUGAUGCGUAACAGUGGUGAUCGGAGAUGGAAGGGAUGACCGGAACCGGAGACGAUGUUCGGUUUACGGUAUUGUACGGAGUGAUCGGUAGAGACGGAGGGUGUCGGAGGUAACGGCGGAAGAAAUCGGAGACUUUACGGUGAACGGUGGCCGGAGAAGAGAAGGGUGAUGGUACAGUCGCCGGUGAAGAUGGAUGAUACGGUGGUUGUCGUUUACGGUCGCCGGAGAUGAUGAAGAUAAGAGAUGGAGAAUGGGUGAUCGAUGAUCAGGAGACGGGUUGCAGGUUUUCGGUCGGAGAAUAUGUUGGAGGUUUCUCGGAAAUGAUUGUGAAGGUGGAGGUGACUGAGAUGAUGACCGGAAAUUAUGAAGGUUCCGGUGUACGGUGAACGGAGGUUGAUGAUUGUCUGCGAACGAAGAAGGUAAAUGUGAUGAUAUUCCGAGUUGUAGGUUUGAUAACGGUGAUAGAGAACGAUAGGUGGUAAUGAGCGGCAGGAUAUCUUGUUCCGGAGAAAUCAACGGCAGUCGCAGGAGGGUUGCGGCGACUCAUGGCGGUGAUGUUGGUCUUGAUGGUGUUGAUUGGUGGCUGCCAUGAGGAUUUCAAUGCUGCUGAUGUCAUGGCUGACGUCAUGGGAACAUUCCAUUGCGGCUGCAGAGGAUGUUUCAUCAGAAUUAUCGAAAAGAAACCUAAUAAUUUUGUCCGUUGGAUGAUUGAGCUGAUCGACGGCUUAGAUUGCUGCACUUGCAUGUUGUCGGCUGUCAUGGGCAAGGGUUUGGUAUGAGCUUGUGCAUGGGCUAAGAUAUGCUACUGGACCGAAGAUUGUGAGAUCAAAUAGCAGCAAUAAGUCUUCACCUUCGGUGGGCCCAAUUGAGUUUUAUUUCAGAAAUCAUCCGUGAUGGAUACAGAUCAGAAAUCAUCCGUUAUUAUCUGAGACGUUAUUAGAGAUUAAUAUCAUCCGAAAGACGCAACUACAUCCGAGAUCAUCAUUAGUUUAUCCGAGACACAUUCAUCCGAGAGCUUCGUCAUUCGUCCGACAUAAUUCAUUAUCAUCAUUUUUCAUCCGACAUAGAUUCUACCAUCAUCUGAGAUACGCUGCUGGACUCGUUCACUGCUGGGCCGCUAAAGGAGAAGACCCAAGGUUGGAGAUCAUCUAAGCCGUAAUAAAGAGAGCAUAAAACUAGGGGGAGAUUGUUAGGUCUAGAGUUUCACGCUUAUCUUUAUUACGUUUAUUCAUAUUUAUUUGGUUUAAAUUAUGUAUUGGGCUUGGGCUAGGCCAUGUGGGCCAAUAGGGUAGUGGCUCCUAUAAAUAGUCUUGAUUAGAUUGUUAUUAGUAGAGCUCUCCCACAUAUUGUAAUCAUGUAGCCCCAAAUAGAGAACCUUGUACCAGACAAUCCUAGGGAUUGUGUGCAAGGUUCUCGAAGAUCGUACCAG